rnacentral:rRNA from 1 species
UGGGGAAUAUUGGACAAUGGGCGCAAGCCUGAUCCAGCCAUGCCGCGUGAGUGAUGAAGGCCUUAGGGUUGUAAAGCUCUUUCGCCGACGAAGAUAAUGACGGUAGUCGGAGAAGAAGCCCCGGCUAACUUCGUGCCAGCAGCCGCGGUAAUACGAAGGGGGCGUAGCGUUGUUCGGAAUCACUGGGCGUAAAGCGCACGUAGGCGGAUUGUUAAGUCAGGGGUGAAAGCCCUGGAGCUCAACUCCAGAACUGCCCCUUGAUACUGGCAAUCUCGAGUCCGGAAGAGGUAAGUGGAACUGCGAGUGUAGAGGUGAAAUUCGUAGAUAUUCGCAAGAACACCAGUGGCGAAGGCGGCUUACUGGUCCGGUACUGACGCUGAGGUGCGAAAAGCGUGGGGGAGCAAAACAGGAUUAGAUA